AGCUGAAGCAGGUUCCAGGAGCCAAGCUGAGAACACAAGCACAGCAGCACCUGUAGCUGGGCUGGGCUCAAUUAAAAAUGAAAAAAAAAAAGGAAAAAAAAAAGGGCGGAGAUGGUUCGUGUGAUAAGUGCUAAUUAGCUCUUCUUUGUAGGGAGUUUGGGGUUUGGUCAGAGGCAAGCAGGGAGAUUGGAGAUUGCUGAACUGGUUUUGCUGAGCUUGACUUUUGGCAGACAGCUGUGGGACUAGUAUAGAAAACAUGCUGUUUGCACUGCCCAUACAGUCCAACAUCUGCUGAAACAAGAGGCUGGAAUGUAAGGAGAAGAAAAGGGAGACAACUGGAGCUUUCUCCCCCACACAGAGGUAUCAGCACUGCACGCUCACUCUGUUCCCUUCUGCAGCACUGACUGUAUCUCUAAAGCUCUCCAGCAAAUCCACUCAUCCAAUGCCAUCUGCAUUUACCAUUUCACAAAAAUAUAAUUCAAGAUCUGAUUAAAACCAGAACAUGCUGCUUGUCAAGAUCCAGUCUAGGAUAUCAAAGGACCAAGCUGGUAGAGCCAGAAUGCUGUCUGGAGAUGGGUACAGGUUUUUGGGGAUGGAGCUGCAACCAGUUUCAACUUCUGCCAGCACUCACAGAUGCUCUCCCCACUAACAGGCAGUCCUUGCUUGUGCUGCCAACCACCUGGCUAGACAACACCUCAGCUGCUCCACUGACACCCCUUCAUGUAGCACCACACACCCCCAUCCUGCCUGCCAGCCUUCUUGGGAUAUGCUCAACAGCUUGAGUGUUGAGAACAUACCAUAAGUUUUAAGAAGAGAGUUCUUUAAAAAUAGAAAGCAGGUGUCUUUACUUCCCCCCACCCCCUCAAGUCCCUCUGCUAAAUAAGCAUGUUGAGUAAAGAAUGGUACUUGAGUAAAGAUGCUCUCUUCUCCCCUUGCUUUCAACUCUAACAGAUAUCUUUAGAAUCCAGUCUGGUAAAAAAAAA